rnacentral:tRNA from 1 species
ACGGGUGUAGCUCAAUUGGCAGAGCACUGGACUCCAAAUCCAGGUGCUGCGGGUUCAAGUCCUGCCACCCGUG